rnacentral:rRNA from 1 species
UACGGGGGGGGUAAGCGUUGUCCGGAAUCAUUGGGCGUAAAGGGCGCGUAGGUGGCGGGACAAGCGUGCGGUGAAAGCUCGGGGCUCAACCCCGCGUCGGCCGUGCGAACUGUUUUGCUUGAGCACUGUAGAGGCAGGCGGAAUUCCGGGUGUAGCGGUGGAAUGCGUAGAGAUCCGGAAGAACACCGGUGGCGAAGGCGGCCUGCUGGGCAGUAGCUGACACUGAGGCGCGACAGCGUGGGGAGCAAACAGG